GAAGGUAACAGUGAAGUACUCCUGAGACCCAAAACAACUGAAGAGGUCUCUCAGAUUCUUAGGUACUGUAAAUGAGCGGAAUCUGGAGGUGUGUCCACAGGGAGGAAACAGGUCUGGUUGGAGGAAGUGUCCCUGUUUUUGAUGAGAUCAUCCUUUCCACUUCUUUAAUGAACUUAAUGAGUCAUCACAUUCGACAACAUCUCAGGUAUCCUCACUUGUCAGGCAGGCUGUGUGUUGGAGAACCUGUCUAACUAUCUAGAGGAAAGAGACAUCAUCAUACCGCUGGAUUUAGGGUUGAAGGGAAGCUGCCAUAUU